rnacentral:rRNA from 1 species
UACAGAGGGGGCUAGCGUUGUUCGGAAUUACUGGGUGUAAAGGGUGCGCAGGUGGUUAGUUAAGUCUGAUGUGAAAUCCCUGGGCUCAACUCAGGAACUGCAUUGGAAACUGGCUAGCUUUGAGUACCGGAGAGGGAAGCGGAAUUCCUGGUGUAGCGGUGAAAUGCGUAGAUACCAGGAGGAACACCGGUGGCGAAGGCGGCUUCCUGGCCGAGUACUGACGCUCAUGCACGAAAGCGUGGGGAGCAAA